GACGAACGCUGGCGGCGUGCUUAACACAUGCAAGUCGAACGGAAAGGCCCCCACUUUUUUGGUGGGGGUGCUCGAGUGGCGAACGGGUGAGUAACACGUGGGUGAUCUGCCCUGUACUUCGGGAUAAGCUUGGGAAACUGGGUCUAAUACCGGAUAGGACCAUGGUUUAGUGUCUCAUGGUGGAAAAAUUAUUGUUUUGGUGCAGGAUGAGCUCGCGGCCUAUCAGCUUGUUGGUGGGGUAAUGGCCUACCAAGGCGUCGACGGGUAGCCGGCCUGAGAGGGUGGACGGCCACAUUGGGACUGAGAUACGGCCCAGACGCCUACGGGAGGCAGCAGUGGGGCAUAUUGCACAAUGGGCGCAAGCCUGAUGCAGCGACGCCGCGUGGGGGAUGACGGCCUUCGGGUUGUAAACUCCUUUCGUUAGGGACGAAGCCGCACCUUUUUUGGGUGUGGUGACGGUACCUUUGUUAAGAAGCACCGGCUAACUACGUG
rnacentral:rRNA from 1 species